UCCGGUUUGUCACCGGCAGUCUCAUUAGAGUGCCCAACUGAAUGUAGCAACUAAUGACAAGGGUUGCGCUCGUUGCGGGACUUAACCCAACAUCUCACGACACGAGCUGACGACAGCCAUGCAGCACCUGUGUUCAGGCUCCCUUUCGGGCACACCCAACUCUCAUCGGGCUUCCUGACAUGUCAAGGGUAGGUAAGGUUUUUCGCGUUGCAUCGAAUUAAUCCACAUCAUCCACCGCUUGUGCGGGUCCCCGUCAAUUCCUUUGAGUUUUAAUCUUGCGACCGUACUCCCCAGGCGGUCGACUUCACGCGUUAGCUUCGUUACUAAGGAAGUCUCCUUCCCCAACAACUAGUCGACAUCGUUUAGGGCGUGGACUAC
rnacentral:misc_RNA from 1 species